GACGAACGCUGGCGGCGUGCUUAACACAUGCAAGUCGAACGGAAAGGCCCUGCUUUUGUGGGGUGCUCGAGUGGCGAACGGGUGAGUAACACGUGAGUAACCUGCCCUUGACUUUGGGAUAACUUCAGGAAACUGGGGCUAAUACCGGAUAGGAGCUCCUGCUGCAUGGUGGGGGUUGGAAAGUUUCGGCGGUUGGGGAUGGACUCGCGGCUUAUCAGCUUGUUUGUGGGGUAGUGGCUUACCAAGGCUUUGACGGGUAGCCGGCCUGAGAGGGUUACCGGCCACAUUGGGACUGAGAUACGGCCCAGACUCCUACGGGAGGCAGCAGUGGGGAAUAUUGCACAAUGGGCGGAAGCCUGAUGCAGCAACGCCGCGUGCGGGAUGACGGCCUUCGGGUUGUAAACCGCUUUCGCCUGUGACGAAGCGUGAGUGACGGUAAUGGGUAAAGAAGCACCGGCUAACUACGUG
rnacentral:rRNA from 1 species